UGACUCAGCAGUCACGUGUGCAAAUGGAUUUAGUGAGUCAAACAUUUAAAACACGUGGUUCACGUGUUAAAAAAAGAAAUCAGAAACAAAAUCAAACGCGUUCUUAUCUUCCUGACUUCGUUCCUCCUUCGCCGCGCCGGAUAUCGACUCUGGCGGCGGAGGUACCUCCAUGACCAUAACCAAACACAUCAUCUAAAUUAGUUACACACCCUGAGUCCAAAAAUCAACUUGUCUGUGCCUAAUUCUCCCUGAGAUGCUCGAAUCAAAACAAAAGAUGGAAGAACCCUAGGCACUCCAACAGAAAUUAAAUCGUGGUCGCUCGGAGUCAAAGCCCUAGAGGUUAGGCCUUUGACUCCCCUAACCUAAUGCUACACACCGGUAACUUUUACAUAUUGAAAUGGUAAAGACUAAGAUGAAGACUCACUGGAGAAACGCCAGAGUCAGAUGGACUGAGUUAUGGAAUUUCUUAAUUGAACAACUUGUAAUUUUUGAAAUUGAUUUGUUUGGUGAUUUGUACAUGGAAUUUGAAUGGUUUAUGACAUUUGGAUUGUGGAAUUAGAUCUUGUAUGAAAAAUGAUCAUGGUUUAUGUAUUGCAUAUGUUAAGUCA